AGGUAGAUAGGUUCGGGGUGGAAGCGUGGCAACACGCGGAGCUGACGAAUACUAAUCGGUCGAGGGCUUAACCAAAUA
rnacentral:rRNA from 1 species